GCUCAAACAACUUGCAAAAUAGAAAAAGCAACAUGACAAAGAAAUGUGAUAAAAUAAAGAUAUUAAAAAAAAUAAUAAUAAUUGAGAUAUGAUAUUUUUGUUAUAUUGCCCACCCUUACUUGUCACAUGUUCAGAACAAAUUAGGUUAUAAAGUUUAUAAUGUUUGUGUUAAACCUCUGUAUAAACCAUAUUCCCACACACCAUAUUGGUUAUAAAGAAUGUAUUGAUAUAUUGUACAAAGUUAAUAUAAUAGCUAGUCCUAAUAGUAAUUAAAUUGUACUAUUCUUAAUUCCAAUUGUUACCACAAAAAAAACUACUAGUGACACGUGAGUUUAUUAGUUUGAAUAUGUGAGCUGAAAUUAUGUUUUUAAUUUUUGUUUGUUUUUUAGUUACAAGGACAACAUUUUCUUGUAGGUAAUUUAAUAAUUGUUUAUAUUUGUAAAUUUUUAUGAUUUAAUAUUUAAUGGAUUCAUUAUUUUAUGUCUGUCUUAGAGUCAGACAGAGUUUUUUAUUUAUUUAUUAGGGCUAUUGUAAUUUAGUUUGUUUGUUUCUUUUAAAUAGGUAUGUGCUGUUGUUGGGCAUGUGGUACAUGUGAGCCAAUCUACUGAAACUGUGAAGUUCCAGGGUGCGUCAAUUGAGGCACAGUCAUGCUAUAUUGAAGACACUUCAGGAACAAUAAAAGUUCAACUGUGGGAAAGUUUGAUAGGCAAACUAGAAUUUGGGUCUACCUACAAAAUGACUGAUGUCAGUACGAGAGUGUUCGCUGGAAGCAUGUACUUGACGACCAGCCGCAGAAGUGAAAUCAAACAAGUGGCCGCUCUCAAAGGACUGAAUGAAGUUAUUCAAUUCAGAAUUGAUGAAGGUGAAGUUAUUGUGGUUGAAUGGAGCAUUACAUCAGUUGAGGUUGCGGUUUCACGUAGGUGUUCACGAUGCCAGGCUUGGCAACAAGAUUUUGAAACACAAGGUCAAUUCCAUCGUUGUUUUCGUUGCAAGAGACUGCAACAUGUUCAAGCAUUCCAACCAACCGUCAAUGCUGCAGUGACCUUUGUUGGUGAUUUUGGUGAGCGGGAGUUGACCUUGCCAAACUCGAUUAUUAAAAGGUAUGUGCAGAGGGAGAACCUUUCUGAUCUGUUAAAUGAAGCACAAGAUUUUGAAGAGCACUUGAUGACGAACAUGGUGUUCAGGAUGUCACUGCAGCGUGAUGUUGUGAUCUGUAUGGAGAAAGUGCCUGAAAGCAGCAUGGUGCAAGACAUACAUCCAGACGAACAGAUGGAUGGGUCUGAUGCAGAAUUGAUUGCAGUGGACAGUGUGGAUGUAGAAGUACUUGCAGGCAGAGGUGAGUAGUAAUGAAGUUCAUUCAAAAUAAAGCAUGUAUGCUACAGUGUAAAAAAAAUAGU
ensembl:lncRNA